rnacentral:rRNA from 1 species
AGCAGAAGCCAUAUCACCCUGCAGCCCAAGACCGGUAACUGAAGCUAAGCAGGGCUGAGCCUGGUCAGUACCUGGAGGGGAGUCUACAUGGGAAAAAUAGGUUGCUUUUGGAA